rnacentral:rRNA from 1 species
AGCGAACGCUGGCGGCAGGCCUAACACAUGCAAGUCGAACGAACUCUUCGGAGUUAGUGGCGGACGGGUGAGUAACACGUGGGAACGUGCCUUUUGGUUCGGAAUAACUCAGGGAAACUUGUGCUAAUACCGCAUGUGCCCUUCGGGGGAAAGAUUUAUCGCUAUUUGAGCGGCCCGCGUCUGAUUAGCUAGUUGGUGAGGUAACGGCUCACCAAGGCGACGAUCAGUAGCUGGUCUGAGAGGAUGACCAGCCACACUGGGACUGAGACACGGCCCAGACUCCUACGGGAGGCAGCAGUGGGGAAUCUUGCGCAAUGGGCGAAAGCCUGACGCAGCCAUGCCGCGUGAAUGAUGAAGGUCUUAGGAUUGUAAAAUUCUUUCACCGGGGACGAUAAUGACGGUACCCGGAGAAGAAGCCCCGGCUAACUUCGUG